UNGAUCGUGAACUUUUCCAAGUCUAGGGCUU
rnacentral:piRNA from 1 species